GCCACAUGAUGUUUUCAUUUUGAAUAUAUGUGAGCGCUUUGCGUAAUGACGACCAUAAUCUAUCACCCUUGACUGAUGGCU
rnacentral:snoRNA from 1 species